rnacentral:rRNA from 1 species
UACAGAGGGUGCAAGCGUUGUUCGGAAUUACUGGGCGUAAAGCGCACGUAGGCGGCUUUGUAAGUUAGAGGUGAAAGCCUGGGGCUCAACCCCAGAAUUGCCUUUAAGACUGCAUCGCUUGAAUCCAGGAGAGGUGAGUGGAAUUCCUGGUGUAGCGGUGAAAUGCGCAGAUAUCAGGAGGAACACCAAUUGCGAAGGCAGCUCGCUGGGACGUUACUGACGCUGAGACGCGAAAGCGUGGGGAGCAAACAGG